UUGCAGGACCUCAAAUGUCCCAGGACCUCAAG
rnacentral:piRNA from 1 species